UCUACACUGUUGUGCCCACCUUUCAGUGGUGCCUUUGUUUUAACCUUUUUUGCAUACUCACAAACCAAUCAGCACAUACUCCCCAUUCUGAGCUCAUAAAAGCCCUGGACCCAGCUACACUGGGAGGGAGACCACCCUUGCAGAUGCUGGCAGGUCUGUGCUCCCUCUGAAGGCUCUAAUGGAGAGCCUUUUCUUGCUCUUCCAGCUUCUGGUCACUCCGUACAUUCCUCAGCUUGUGAGGAACUGAGAGCUGUUCUGUCACUCAAUAGAAUUCUUCUCUGCCCUCCUCACCCUUUGAUUGUCAACAUAACCUUAUUCUUCUUGGAUGCAGGACAAGAACUUGGGAACCACCAACGUGGGUACAAGCUGUAACACAAGUGGGCUGGGGCAGGCCCAGCCUAGCCAUAGGCUAAGCACAGAACCUGUGGCGAGUGCAGGAUCCAGGCUGGCGUGCAAGCCAGGUGUGGCCCAGGAGGCCAAGUGAAUGGGGCGCCUCCUGUAGCAGGCCCAGAACUGAGCAAGGCCCAGGUGAGGAUGUCACUGGCUGUGGAGGUCCCCGGCUGACAAAGUGACUGAGAAAAAUCCUGCAUCACUAGGUUAUUGGGAGAAGAAACAGAGAGAUGGUGGAUAUCAGGGAGAAUCGCACCCAUCCAGCUACUUAUCAGGGAGCAAAAUUCAUGACAGGCCUGAGAAUCCCAAGAUCAAGAGACAACAAACCAAAGAGAAAGGUUACGAGUUAACUAUUGCUGAGUCAGACUGGCAUCCUUCUUUGCUUAACAUCACCAGAAAUAUUUUUAGAAAGCUGAAAACAAUUCAAGAGACCAACGAGUCAAUCGCACUGGACAUAUAACUCUGAACAAGAUAAUUAUGGGACUUGAACUCUAGAAUUGCAAAUGCUGAUCAACACUAUGAAGGGACUGCAGCGUUGAGAUGACAAGGGGGAGUUCUGAUAGGAUUUCAUUAACUUCUAAUUUGCCUGAAUGUUUUUCGCCAAAACCAUGGUUCUCAAACUUGUCUACACCUUGAAAUCACCUAGAGAGUUUUAAUGCUGAUGCCCCGGUUCUGCUCCUAGAGACUCAGAUUUAAUUGGCAUGACAUGCAACCUAGAUUGGAUUUUCUGAAAGCUGCAAGAUGAUUCUAAUGGAGCAAAGUUCGACAACCACAGUCACCAAACAAAUGCUUCCUUCACAAAGGUCAGAGGAAGUGUGAUCUCGGCUUGAUUCAAGCCAGCAAGCUACCUGCCUUCUGAAUCUGAGCCUUCUGCUUCUGCUGUCAAGAAGAUAACCAGCACCUCAGAAGCUCUCUUCAUACACCCCUCAAUCACUACUCACUGGAUUUGUUUGGCCUAUUUUCAAACAUUGUAUCUAUAAAAUCAUAUAGUAUACAUUAUUUUGUGUUUUGCUUUUCCAUUCCACAUUAUGUUUGUGAGAUAUAUCAAUGUGACUGUAGGUGGUAGUAGUUUGACCUAUUUCAUUGUUAUAUAGUAUUUCAUCUUAUGCCUAUACCAUGAUUUAUCUAUUCUUCUCUUGAUUAACAUGUAACUUGUUUUCAGUUUGGGAACAGUAUAAAGUUAUGUUGCUAUAAAACAUUUUUACUAAGUACUAUUCUUUGUUGACUCUAUAACAUGGAGUAUUCAUUGCUGGGCCACAGGGUGUGUGUAUGUUUAACUUUAGUUAGUACUGUCAAUUCCUUUUCAGAAGUGGUUGUACAGGUACCAAAUUUGUUCUCACACCAGCCAUUUAUGCAGAAUCCAGUGACUCCAUAUCUUUGCCAACACUUGGUAUCUCAUUAUGGUUUUAAUUCGCCUGUUCCUAAUCACUAAUGAAAUUAAGCUUUUUUUUUUUUUUUUAAGUACCAACACUACUUUAACAGAAUUGACUUUCUGAUAUCAUUGAUUUAUCUUGAUCUAGAACUGCUCUUCAUGGUAGGCAACUCACUAGUUGAUGCCCUUAAAACUUUUCCUUAGAGAGUACAGAUUUUUAAUCUAAAAAUUAGCAAGUGUGUUAUAUGGACAUUUUCUUUGUGUAACAACAACACAGGUAAAAAUAAACAACUUUCUAAAUAUUAAUACCACUUUUAAAAGCUAUUCUGAAAUUCUUUACCCUUAUAAGUAUUUGGUGAAAAGGUGAGGCAAUUUUAUUGGUAUAAAUGUAUAUCUCAUAAUUGUCAACAAACAAAAUGAAUUCCAACCGUAAUACUCAGACACGUUUUGCAUGAAAAGUAACCUGGAAUGGCAAAUGCAAUAGUAUCUCCUUAUUUUUUAGGCCAUUAAAAAUCAUUGCCGGCUGGGCGCAGUGGCUCAUGCCUGUAAUCCAGCACUUUGGGAGGCCGAGGCAGGUGGAUCACCUGAGGUCAGGAGUUCAAGACCAGCCUGGCCAACAUGGUGAAACCCCGUCUCUACUAAAAAUACAAAAAUUAGCCAGGCAUGGUGGCGCAUGCCUGUAGUCCCAGCUACUCAGGAGGCUGAGGCAGGAGAAUCACUUGAACCCAGGAGGUGGAGGUUGCAGUGAGCUGAGAUGGAGCCAUUGCACUCCAUCCUGGGUGACAGAGCGAAACUCUGUCUCAAAAAAAAAAAGAAAAAAUCAUUGCCACUUCCACCUACAUCAUCAAUGAAGAAGGGCAGCAACAAAUUCGGCUACAUAAAGAUGACAAAUGUACAAAGGACAGCCUGUGAGAAGGGACAGGUUUAGAUUUUUGGCUUCAUGCUUAGGUUUCAUAUUUUCUAAUUUGAAUUUCUACUGAUUUUGAUAUCCUUUUUAUGUUCUGAUUAGGCAGAUUAAAUAUGUCUAUAAAGAAUUUUCCAGAUACAUGAUAUUACAUAAGAUCAUAAUAAAAUUAUUUGAAGACACAGGCAACAUGUUUGAUUUUUUUUAAGGUUCUGUGUGUUUCUGAGAGAAUGUUUGUUUAUAUCACUUUACUAGCAUGUCAAAAAAUCCCUAGUGAGGAUUGUAAAUUGAAAACCAGAAACAAUGCCAACAUUAUUACUAUACCUGGAGCAUUUACUCUUGUCUAUUUACUGUUCUUUACAGUAAAGAAAGCUCUGUAUUUAUUCUCGUCAGUCUCCUUUAGCAGAAAAUUUGUGAUGGUUUGGAUUAUUGUUCAGUAAAUAUUAAUUCCCCUACAACUCCAACUGUGGGCAGAGAAAACUUCCUUGCCUUGUUGAUAUUGGGCUUGCAAAGUUAGCAAAUGUAACACAGGCAGAGGCCUUAAAUAUGUCUAUAUGGUUUGGCUUGGCUUUGGGACUCCUGGUAUUCAUCUUGAGAAUAAAAUGGUCAGAUGGCCACUGAUUUAAACAGUGUGAAAAUUAUGUGUAACACAUCAAAUCCUGGAACCCAGAGCCUGGAGCUGGGCCAAGCUGAGCUGCAGUCAACCUACAAACCCAUGAAUGAUAAAUAAGAUCUUGAUGUUUUAAGCCACUACAUCUUGGUGUGGUUUGUUAUGCAGCAUUAUUGUGACAAAAGCUGACUGAGACAGCUUCUGAGUCUGUUGGUUAAAAAUGUUUGCAUUAAAGUUCUCAAAUAUAAAAUGUAUUUAGUAAAUUAGUCAACAGUACCACUCAGUCAAAAGAUAGUUAUUGAACACUUAGAAUGUGCCAAUCACAGUGCUACAUAGUGGAGAUGGAUGGUAAACAAAAUAGACAUGGGGAAACUUGAAAAGGUAAUUGAAAUACAAUCUGACCUGUUCUGAUAAGGACAAGCAAGCACCAAUUACGGGAUGAUUUAGAAGGGAGACUAGAACUAGCCUUGACAAGUCAAGGAAGUUUUCUCAGAGAUGAAGCAUGAGUAGGGAUUAUUUACAUUACCGUAGGAAGAAUCAAUAACAUCCUCAAAAACUCAGAAAUAAAAAGAUAUAGUAAUUCAGUGAACUACAAGA